rnacentral:rRNA from 1 species
CCUACGGGAGGCAGCAGUCGAGAAUCAUUCACAAUGGGGGAAACCCUGAUGGUGCGACGCCGCGUGGGGGAAUGAAGGUCUUCGGAUUGUAAACCCCUGUCAUGUGGGAGCAAAUUAAAAAGAUAGUACCACACGAGGAAGAGACGGCUAACUCUGUGCCAGCAGCCGCGGUAAUACAGAGGUCUCAAGCGUUGUUCGGAAUCACUGGGCGUAAAGCGUGCGUAGGCUGUUUCGUAAGUCGUGUGUGAAAGGCGCGGGCUCAACCCGCGGACGGCACAUGAUACUGCGAGACUAGAGUAAUGGAGGGGGAACCGGAAUUCUCGGGGUAGCAGUGAAAUGCGUAGAUAUCGAGAGGAACACUCGUGGCGAAGGCGGGUUCCUGGACAUUAACUGACGCUGCGGCACGAAGGCCAGGGGAGCGAAAGGGAUUAGAUACCCCAGUAGUC